rnacentral:tRNA from 1 species
GCCUGGGUAGCUCAGUGGUAGAGCUCUUGACUUGCGUACAGGAAUCACAGGUUCGAUUCCCUCUGAAGCC